AUGUGUCCCCCAUGUGUCACCGUGUCCCCAAUGUCCCCAACGGGUCCCCGAUGUCUCCGUGUCCCGAGUGUCCCCAAUGGGUCCCUGGUGUUCCCAUGUCCCCAACAUGUCACCGUGUCCCCAAUGUCCCCGACGGGUCCCCGGUGUCUCCCAACGUCCCCGAUGGGUCCCCGACAUCCCUGUGUCCCCGACGUGUCACCGUGUCCCCAAGGUCCCCAACAGGACCCCGAUGUCCCCAAGAUGUCACCACGUUCCCCGGCGUCUCCAACAUUUCCCCAGUGUCCCCUGAUGUCCCCAGUGUCCCCAAAAGGUCCCCAAUGGGCCCCCGUGUCCUCAAUGUGUCACCGUGUCCCCAAUGUCCCCAAUGGAUCCCCGAUGUCCCCAUGUCCCCAAUGUGUCACUGUCUCCCUAAUGUCCCCAACGGGUCCCUGUUGUCCCCUGACGUCCCCAGUGUCCCCGAUGGGUCCCCAAAGUCCCCUGAUGUCCCCAGUGUCCCCAAUGGGUCCCCGUGUCCCCAACAUGUCACCGUGUCCCCAGCAGGUCCCCAAUGUCCCCAGUGUGUCGCUGUGCCCCCACUGUCCCCAACGGAACCCCCGAUGUCCCCAACGUGUCACCAUGUCCCCAACGGGUCCCCAGUGUCACUGUGUCCCCAAUGGGUCCUUGUGUCCCCAAUGUGUCACCGUGUCCCCACCAGGUCCCCAUGUCACCAUGUCCCCAAUGUGUCCCCUACAUGUCCCCAACGUGUCACUGUGUCCCCAAGGUCCCCAACGGGUCCCUGUGUCCCCAACGUGUCACCGUGUCCCCACCAGGUCCCCAGUGUCCCCCCCAGAGUGUCACCAAUGGGUCCCCAAGGUGUCCACAGUGUCCGUGUCACGUCCCCGUGCGCGUCCCUGUCUUGCCAUGUCUCCCUGUCCCAACGUCCCCACACGUCCCCAACGUCCCCCGCGUGUCCCCUCCCCCCCCCCCGGCAGGUUCGGGGCGGCGCUGCGGGGGACGCCGGCCGUGGGGACCCUCGCCUGGCCCUCGCCGGCGGUGGCAGUGCUCGGCGCCGCCGUGGCCUCCCUGGGCGCCGGCCUCCGCUGCCUGGUCACCGGCCCGGGGCUGCUGCGGGCCCUGGCGCGACUCCGCGCCCUGCCGGGCCUCCACGUGAGCCACGCGCGGGUCACCUCCCUGCCACGGGUCACCUCCCUGCCGCACGUCACCUCCCCCUCGUGGCAUUCGGGGCCGUUUCGGGGCGUUUCGGGGCACUUUAGGGUGUUUUAG
rnacentral:lncRNA from 1 species